rnacentral:rRNA from 2 species
GUGGACGCCAGUCUGCGUGGAGCCAACCUUGAAAUACCACCCUUUAAUGUUUGAUGUUCUAACGUGGACCCGUAAUCCGGGUUGCGGACAGUGUCUGGUGGGUAGUUUGACUGGGGCGGUCUCCUCCUAAAGAGUAACGGAGGAGCACGAAGGUUGGCUAAUCCUGGUCGGACAUCAGGAGGUUAGUGCAAUGGCAUAAGCCAGCUUGACUGCGAGCGUGACGGCGCGAGCAGGUGCGAAAGCAGGUCAUAGUGAUCCGGUGGUUCUGAAUGGAAGGGCCAUCGCUCAACGGAUAAAAGGUACUCCGGGGAUAACAGGCUGAUACCGCCCAAGAGUUCAUAUCGACGGCGGUGUUUGGCACCUCGAUGUCGGCUCAUCACAUCCUGGGGCUGAAGUAGGUCCCAAGGGUAUGGCUGUUCGCCAUUUAAAGUGGUACGCGAGCUGGGUUUAGAACGUCGUGAGACAGUUCGGUCCCUAUCUGCCGUGGGCGCUGGAGAACUGAGGGGGGCUGCUCCUAGUACGAGAGGACCGGAGUGGACGCAUCACUGGUGUUCGGGUUGUCAUGCCAAUGGCACUGCCCGGUAGCUAAAUGCGGAAGAGAUAAGUGCUGAAAGCAUCUAAGCACGAAACUUGCCCCGAGAUGAGUUCUCCCUGAGACUUAGAGUCUCCUGAAGGAACGUUGAAGACGACGACGUUGAUAGGCCGGGUGUGUAAGCGCAGCGAUGCGUUGAGCUAACCGGUACUAAUGAACCGUGAGGCUUAACCUU